rnacentral:rRNA from 1 species
UUAGAAACCCUAGUAGUCCACAUCGGGUGCCAGCAGCCGCGGUAAUACGAAGGGGGCUAGCGUUGUUCGGAAUUACUGGGCGUAAAGCGCACGUAGGCGGAUAUUUAAGUCAGGGGUGAAAUCCCAGAGCUCAACUCUGGAACUGCCUUUGAUACUGGGUAUCUUGAGUAUGGAAGAGGUGAGUGGAAUUCCGAGUGUAGAGGUGAAAUUCGUAGAUAUUCGGAGGAACACCAGUGGCGAAGGCGGCUCACUGGUCCAUUACUGACGCUGAGGUGCGAAAGCGUGGGGAGCAAACAGG